CGGCAGCACGGGAGCUUGCUCCUGGUGGCGAGUGGCGAACGGGUGAGUAAUGUAUCGGAACGUACCCCGUCGUGGGGGAUAACUCUCCGAAAGGAGAGCUAAUACCGCAUACGACCCGAGGGUGAAAGCGGGGGACCUGGGGUAACCUGGGCCUCGCGCGAUGGGAGCGGCCGAUAUCGGAUUAGCUAGUUGGUGGGGUAAAGGCCUACCAAGGCGACGAUCCGUAGCGGGUCUGAGAGGACGACCCGCCACACUGGAACUGAGACACGGUCCAGACUCCUACGGGAGGCAGCAGUGGGGAAUUUUGGACAAUGGGCGCAAGCCUGAUCCAGCCAUUCCGCGUGAGUGAAGAAGGCCUUCGGGUUGUAAAGCUCUUUCAGCAGGAACGAAACGGUGGGUCUUAAUACGGCCUGCUAAUGACGGUACCUGCAGAAGAAGCACCGGCUAACUACGUGCCAGCAGCCGCGGUAAUACGUAGGGUGCGAGCGUUAAUCGGAAUUACUGGGCGUAAAGCGUGCGCAGGCGGCGACAUAGGACAGAUGUGAAAUCCCCGGGCUCAACCUGGGAACGGCGUUUGUGACUGUGUGGCUAGAGUGUAGCAGAGGGGGGUGGAAUUCCACGUGUAGCAGUGAAAUGCGUAGAGAUGUGGAGGAACACCGAUGGCGAAGGCAGCCCCCUGGGUUAACACUGACGCUCAUGCACGAAAGCGUGGGGAGCAAACAGGAUUAGAUACCCUGGUAGUCCACGCCCUAAACGAUGCCAACUAGGUGUU
rnacentral:rRNA from 1 species